GUUUGUAGCUGGGAUGUAAUGAAUGUGGAUGAAACUACUUUUUUUAUAGCUCUGAUCAAGUUUAUACUUGAAACAAAAACGUUCUAUCAUGUGGAAGCACAGGGAAUGUUAGAAUUCGUUGAAAGGAAAUAAUAUUCAACUUUUAGUGACUUUUAGUUGUGUCAGAAUAAAAAUAAAAAGUGUUGUUAUAUUUGGCUCCUCAAUAUGGGAAGAAGUUAUAAAAUGGUGCAAGGUUUGAUGUUUAAAGGUAACAAAGUACUCAUGUAACUGAUUUUGUUCUCCGACAUCAAAAUAGUACUAUUAUCACCAAUGAUAAUAACAGG
rnacentral:lncRNA from 1 species